rnacentral:misc_RNA from 1 species
CCUGGAUUUAGACUGCUAUGGAACACUGUGAAGACUUUUCUAGAUCCUAAAACCACCUCCAAGAUUCACGUUCUUGGAAACAAAUAUCACAGUAAAUUGCUUGAGAUGAUUGAUGCCAGUGAGUUGCCAGAAUUUCUUGGUGGUACCUGUACCUGUGCAGAUCAGGGAGGUUGCCUUCGGUCAGAUAAGGGACCAUGGAAAAACCCAGAAAUAUUGAAGAUGGUUCUUAAUGGUGAAGCACGGCGUGCCCACCAGGUUGUAAAAGUUUUAAACAGUGAGGGGAAGGUUAUUGCAUAUGCUAAGCCACGUUACCCUGUGCUUGUCAGAGGUAGUGAUACAUCCACUGCUGAGUCAGGAUCUGAAGCUGAAGAUAUUGCUUCCCCCAAAGCACUGAAGAGUUAUUCACAUCUUCGACUGACUCCUGUUCGCGAAGAAGGUAAGGUGGUUGGAAAGGCAAGCUAUGCUGGUAAAUUCUCAGGGUAUGAUGAAUAUGUUCCUAUGGUUGACAAAGCUGUUGAUGGUGGUUGGAAAAAGCAAUCAUCCGUCCAGAGGCCUUCUGUUUCCAAAGCUACACUUGCUCUGCC